rnacentral:misc_RNA from 1 species
CUGACCUAACCUCAGAUACUCAGAUAUGCUUUGAUUAUCAACUUGAGAGUUCAGAAAAUAAAAUUAAUUUUCUUCAUUUGAAAUCCCUAAUUAAACUAUCAAAAUAAAUUUGUUUUAAAUACCGCAUAAUUUUGCAUUUUUUAUGAUAUAAAAAUGAUAUGUUACAAGUUUAUUGUUAAACUUGUCAGGUAAAAUGAUGUAUCGAAAACAACAGCUAAACAAUAUCAUUUUACACCUAGGUGUUUUCAUAAUUGGAUUUAUUGAUGGGUCAAUUCAGGAAUAUAAACACUAUUCAUUAGGAAACCCAAAGCUGUGUUCGCCAUUGAGUCAAAAGAAAGUUAAAUACGAAGCAGUUAUAGUUGAUGAAGGACAGUUCAUUAAUCAGCAUAGGCUUUUAUGGAACGUAGAUAAUAGUUGUAGUUUUGAAGUUGAGUCCAUUUAUUCUAAUGGUGGUGUUAUCGCAGUAAUACAGAACAUAAACUUACGAAAAAAUGAAAGUAAUGGAGAAUGUAUUGAUUACAUUCAGAUUCGCGUUCAAAAUAAAUUUACUCGACGAUUUUGUGGAAACUUUAAUGCAACUUCUGUGAUGAACCAAAAUGAAAAUGGUGAAAUUAGUAGUAUCAAUUCUGCAAUGAAUAAAAAUGGUGAAUUAGAUGUUACUAUAUUUAUUGAUAAAGAACCACUGGCUUAUAAUACUAGAACUGAAUUUAGUGUGGUAUUUACAUCUUUUAAAGAAUGUUCAUAUUUGAAUUAUAAACAUUACAAAUUGGAACAGUGUAAUGAACGAGAAGAAGUAUGUAUUAAAACUCAUUUUUUCAUGGAUGGAUUAAUUAAUUGCCCUUAUUAUGGAUGCACCGAUGAAGGAAAAUGCUUGCUGUCUUCCAAUAUUGAGUCCAAAGGGUCAGUGGGAGAUAGAGUACUUAUAGGUUCCCUUUCUACAUUAGCACUCUUAUUUGCUCUUUUCUGUUUACUUAUAUGGGCCUUUAAAAAACAUAAAUUAUUCUGUUGGAGAGAGGAUUUUGCUCAUCCAACUCCCAUAUCUGAUAAUAAUCGUAGUUCAUGUGUAAUGGAAAUGCAUGAACCUACUGGGAUAAGGCUGGCAGAACCAGCACUUCCACCUACACAACCUUCUGCACCUGUUGACCAAGGAAAAGAUUUACCUCCAUCAUAUGAUAGUUUAUUUCCUAACUCAACUAAUGAAUAAUUGAUCUUAUUAUUUAGAUUACCUUUUAGAGUUUAGUCUAUAUUUAAUUGAUAUAAAAGUUUAUAUUUUUUCUUGCCAUGUUUGUAGUUUUAUAAAAGGUUUUUAAUUUCGGUACUGCCAUUGUCAGCAUUAUCUGGACCUUUGAAUAAAAAUAUUAAGGAAGGAGUAUAAUGCUAUUCAUGUAUUCAUGCAUGGUCUAAAGAUGCAUGGUAGAUGGAAUCAACAUCAUAGGUCCCCAUCCUCGACUUAUUCUUUUUGAGGUUUCAAUUGAAACAUUUGAAUUUGAUUUGAAAUUUCGUGUAUUUGUCUUUACUGAGCUUAUUUUAUGUUAUUUAUUAUUUAUUCUGCAAUGGAUUUUGAUUAGAGGUAGUAAAUUUAAAAGGAAAUUGUAUCAGAACUCGCAGUGACAAUAUGUAAUAUAAUUUGCCGAAAAGACUAAAGUAGUUGCAUAGCGUACGGUAUAUCUCGAUCAAAUGUCAAGAUAAAUAAUGGAGUAACUUUUCACUUGGAAAUGACUAUAUAAUAUACGUACCAUAUGAUCAAAAAAAGUGUCAGCGAUGACUUUUCAUAUUGACAUGACAAUUAAUGACAUUUUCUAUAUAAUUUUACAUAUUAAAUGACAGCGAUCUUCAUUUUAUAGCCAUCGCUGCCGCCGUUUGUUUUUCGAUCAUGUUGUAUAUAUAUACGAGCCCUAACAAUUAAA